AGAUAUGAUCCAGAGUACCACGGGACACGUGAAACCCUGUGGGAAGCAGGAGGGACCACCCUCCAAGGCUAAAUACUACCUAGUGACCGAUAGCGUAUAGUACCGUGAGGGAAAGGUGAAAAGAACCCCGGGAGGGGAGUGAAAUAGAACCUGAAACCCUGCACUUACAAGCUGUGGAAGCACAUUUCUUGUGUGACCGCGUACUUUUUGUAGAACGGGCCAACGAGUUACGUUAAGUAGCAAGGUUAAGCACUUAAGGUGCGGAGCCGUAGCGAAAGCGAGUUUUAACUGAGCGUUCAGUUACUUGACGUAGACCCGAAACCGGGCGACCUACCCAUGAGCAGGAUGAAGCGAAAGUAAAAUUUCGUGGAGGUCCGAACCCACGAGCGUUGAAAAGCUCGGGGAUGACUUGUGGAUAGCGGUGAAAUUCCAAUCGAGCCCGGAGAUAGCUGGUUCUCCCCGAAAUAGCUUUAGGGCUAGCCUCAAGGUGAGAGAUACGGAGGUAGAGCACUGAAUGUCCUAGGGGGUAUUGCACCUACCGAAGACUAUCAAACUCCGAAUGCCGUCAUCUUAUACUUGGGAGUCAGACUGUGGGUGAUAAGAUUCAUAGUCGAAAGGGCAACAGCCCAGAUCGUCAGCUAAGGUCCCUAAAUGUAAGUUAAGUGGUAAAGGAUGUGGGAUUGCACAGACAACCAGGAUGUUGGCUUAGAAGCAGCCACUCAUUCAAAGAGUGCGUAAUAGCUCACUGGUCGAGUGAUCCUGCGCCGAAGAUUUCCGGGGCUAAAACUUACUACCGAAGCUACGGCAUCAGUAAUGAUGGGUAGGGGAGCUUCCCAUACGGGUUGAAGCGUGACCGUAAGGACAUGUGGACAGUAUGGGAGUGAGAAUGUUGGCAUGAGUAGCGAGAUGUGGGUGAGAAUCCCACAGGCCGUAAACCCAAGGUUUCCAGGGGAAGGUUCGUCCGCCCUGGGUUAGUCGGGACCUAAGCUGAGGCCGAAAGGCGUAGGUGAUGGACAACAGGUUGAUAUUCCUGUACUACCGAUAACCGUUUGAGAGAAGGGAUGACACAGUAGGAUAAGCUAAGCACACUGUUGGUUAUGUGUGCCCAAGCAUUGAGGCAGUCAAAGUAGGCAAAUCCGCUUUGAUAAUGCUGGGAUGUGAUGGGGAGCGAAAUUUAGUAGCGAAGUAGCUGAUUUCACACUGUCAAGAAAAGUCUCUAUCGAGGUUAAAGGUACCCGUACCGCAAACCGACACAGGUGGGUGAGGAGAGUAUCCUAAGGCCAGCGAGAGAACUGUUGUUAAGGAACUCGGCAAAAUGACCCCGUAACUUAGGGAUAAGGGGUGCCACCAUCAGGUGGCCGCAGAGAAUAGGCCCAAGCGACUGUUUACCAAAAACAUAGGUUUCUGCUAAGUCGCAAGACGAUGUAUAGGAGCUGACGCCUGCCCGGUGCUGGAAGGUUAAGGGGAUCUGUUAGAGCAAUCGAAGCAGUGAACUUAAGCCCCAGUAAACGGCGGCCGUAACUAUAACGGUCCUAAGGUAGCGAAAUUCCUUGUCGGGUAAGUUCCGACCCGCACGAAAGGCGUAACGAUUUGGGCACUGUCUCAACAACAGACUCGGUGAAAUUGUAAUUCCGGUGAAGAUGCCGGAUACCUGCGACAGGACGGAAAGACCCCAUGGAGCUUUACUGUAGCUUGACAUUGGGUCUUGGUACUACAUGUACAGGAUAGGUGGGAGGCUUUGAAACCAGGACGCCAGUUUUGGCGGAGCCAUCCUUGGGAUACCACCCUUGUAGUACUGGGACUCUAACCAUAGGCCAUGAAUCUGGUCUUGGGACACUGUCAGGUGGGCAGUUUGACUGGGGCGGUCGCCUCCCAAAAGGUAACGGAGGCGCUCAAAGGUUCUCUCAGUACGGUCGGAAAUCGUACGUAGAGUGUAAAGGCAAAAGAGAGCUUGAUUGCAAGACAUACAGGUCGAGCAAGGAUGAAAAUCGGACUUAGUGAUCCGGUGGUUCUGCGUGGAAGGGCCAUCGCUCAACGGAUAAAAGCUACCCUGGGGAUAACAGGCUUAUCUCCCCCAAGAGUCCACAUCGACGGGGAGGUUUGGCACCUCGAUGUCGGCUCAUCACAUCCUGGGGCUGUAGUAGGUCCCAAGGGUUGGGCUGUUCGCCCAUUAAAGUGGUACGCGAGCUGGGUUCAGAACGUCGUGAGACAGUUCGGUCCCUAUCCGUCGCAGGCGUAGGAAAUUUGAGAAGACCUGUCCUUAGUACGAGAGGACCGGGAUGGACGUACCUCUGGUGUACCAGUUGUUCUGCCAAGGGCAUGGCUGGGUAGCUAUGUACGGAAUGGAUAAGCGCUGAAAGCAUCUAAGCGCGAAGCCAACUUCAAGAUAAGAUUUCCCACCGCAAGGGUAAGACCCCAGAAAGACUAUCUGGUUGAUAGGUCGAAGGUGUAAGUGCAGCAAUGUAUUUAGCUUAUCGAUACUAAUAGGUCGAGGACUUGACCAA
rnacentral:rRNA from 1 species